UACAGAGGGUGCGAGCGUUGUCCGGAAUCACUGGGCGUAAAGGGCGCGUAGGCGGCUUGAUAAGCGUGCGGUGAAAGCCCGGGGCUCAACCCCGGGUCGGCCGUGCGAACUGUCGAGCUGGAGCACUGUAGAGGCAGGUGGAAUUCCGGGUGUAGCGGUGGAAUGCGUAGAGAUCCGGAAGAACACCGGUGGCGAAGGCGGCCUGCUGGGCAGUGGCUGACGCUGAGGCGCGACAGCAUGGGGAGCGAACAGG
rnacentral:rRNA from 1 species